rnacentral:rRNA from 1 species
CCUACGGGGGGCAGCAGUGGGGAAUAUUGCACAAUGGGGGAAACCCUGAUGCAGCGACGCCGCGUGAGCGAUGAAGUAUUUCGGUAUGUAAAGCUCUAUCAGCAGGGAAGAAGAUGACGGUACCUGACUAAGAAGCCCCGGCUAACUACGUGCCAGCAGCCGCGGUAAUACGGAGGAUGCGAGCGUUAUCCGGAUUUAUUGGGUUUAAAGGGUGCGUAGGCGGAUUUUUAAGUCAGCGGUAAAAUGUCCGGGCUCAACCCGGGCCGGCCGUUGAAACUGGGGAUCUUGAGUGGGCGAGAAGUAUGCGGAAUGCGUGGUGUAGCGGUGAAAUGCAUAGAUAUCACGCAGAACUCCGAUUGCGAAGGCAGCAUACCGGCGCCCGACUGACGCUGAGGCACGAAAGCGUGGGGAUCGAACAGGAUUAGAUACCCGGGUAGUC